rnacentral:lncRNA from 1 species
CACUUCCUCCAGGAUACCUGCAAAAAUACAUGUAAAAGGUGCUGGAACCGAGAGACUCCACCUUGUGUGGGGGAGCCUGGUUGGCGCCUGCUCCCCAUCCUUAGCUCUCACGCCACCCUCACCCGCCCUUGGCUCUGUGUGGGAGAGAGAGCACAGGCUCCUAGGUUUCUGGAUGAGUCUGGAUUAGCCUUCCUCUGUGCUCCACAGGGACCCAGGAGGACAAAGUCCAGUGUGGCGUGUGCUUUCUCUACUAGUGUGAAGCAUAGAACAGAUACCCCAUGACUCCACAUGCACACGCACGGCCAAUUCUAGUGACGGCUCUGAAUGAAAUUGGGCCCCUUGAUGGUCCCCUCCAAGAUGACGUGGACAUUUGCAUUUCUGCUGCCAUCUCGCUUGGUCACUGACAUUCAUGAAACACACGGAGCUUUCAGCCUUUGCCAUCAUCAUUCCCAUCCACACCCCACCCUAUCCCUCACCCUUCGAAGCCCGGCUCAAGCUCCCCUCGUCCAUGAAGCUUCUCUGGCCCUUUGCAGCCCGCGCUGACCUGCCCACUCCCCGCUCAUGGACACACGAUG